rnacentral:rRNA from 1 species
UGGGGGAUAUUGCACAAUGGGCGAAAGCCUGAUGCAGCGACGCCGCGUGGGGGAUGAAGGCUUUCGGGUAGUAAACCUCUUUCGCUAUCGAACAAGGCCCGCUUAGGGUGGGUUGAGGGUAGGUGGAGAAGAAGCGCCGGCUAACUACGUGCCAGCAGCCGCGGUAAUACGUAGGGCGCGAGCGUUGUCCGGAAUUAUUGGGCGUAAAGGGCUUGUAGGCGGCUUGUUGCGCCUGCUGUGAAAACGCGGGGCUUAACUUCGCGCGUGCAGUGGGUACGGGCAGGCUUGAGUGUGGUAGGGGUGACUGGAAUUCCAGGUGUAGCGGUGGAAUGCGCAGAUAUCUGGAGGAACACCGAUGGCGAAGGCAGGUCACUGGGCCAUUACUGACGCUGAGGAGCGAAAGCAUGGGUAGCGAACAGG